CUGGUCCCAGAGUAAGAAAGAUCCAUUUUAUUAAAUUAUUCCACUUUCCAAACAGAACAGCAAGAGUUUAGAAAUGCAUCUGGACAACAGCAACACCAUUCCAAAGAGGGAGGGGGUCCGUACAAACAGCAGCAGGGAUUCCCCCGUUCAAAACAGGGACCUUGAGUCUCAUAGGUGUCUCUUCAUCAUGAGUAACUCAAAGAGAAGGCACUCAACACCAAACUGUGGCUGCAUGGGGGAUGAGCGCUCACAAACCCAUUACAAUGAACCAUGUCUGGACAGGUGAAUGAUUGAUCCGUGAGACUACAGUAGCACUGGCUUAUUGAUGGUGCAAGCUUGCUGCUUCAUUUCUCUAGGCAGUAUCCAGUUAGUUAAUUCAAUGAAGCUACAAUGGAUGCAACAGAACUCAAUAUGGUAUCUGUAAAGCAUUAAGUUUACAUCCAAUAUUUGGAAGUACAUAUUAAAGUAUUGAUAAUGCAUCUGUUAUUUACAUUUGUUGUGAUUUAUAUUUGUGCUGAUAGGGAUUUGGAGUAAAUUGCUUUGAGAAUGUGGCUUGUGGAAUAAUGCCUUUGUCAGCUGCAGUCUCUUUGGGUCAGGGUCAGGUUUAGAGAGUUACUUUGUCAGCUGCAGUCUCUUUGGGUCAGGGUCAGGUUUAGAGAGUUACUUUGUCAGCUGCAGUCUCUUUGGGUCAGGGUCAGGUUUAGAGAGUUACUUUGUCAGCUGCAGUCUCUUUGGGUCAGGGUCAGGUUUAGAGAGUUACUUUGUCAGCUGCAGUCUCUUUGGGUCAGGGUCAGGUUUAGAGAGUUACUUUGUCAGCUGCAGUCUCUUUGGGUCAGGGUCAGGUUUAUAGAAUUACUUUGUCAGCUGCAGUCUCUUUGGGUCAGGGUCAGGUUUAUAGAGUUACUUUGUCAGCUGCAGUCUCUUUGGGUCAGGGUCAGGUUUAGAGAGUUACUUUGUCAGCUGCAGUCUCUUUGGGUCAGGGUCAGGUUUAGAGAGUUACUUUGUCAGCUGCAGUCUCUUUGGG